UAUUAAAGGCAAAAGUUUAACUAAGACAGAAUGAGAAAAGGAAAAUAGUUUACUCUCUGACAUACCCGUCAAACCAGGAAUACUUGGAUCUCCACUGACAUGUAAGGUUAGAUCAGGAUUGCUAUGAAGGCAGCAGUGGGUAGUGACAAGGUAUACGUGUAGACAGUGUGGCGUCAACUUCUUAUACACCGGCUGUGUUCCUGCAAGCAUCAAAUGGAGUCCAGUGAAGAAAUGAAAGUACUACCCGAUGACAGAAUUCUACGGAUAUUUUGGGCGACUGGGUGCCCUCUGUUUCCGCGUCCAAGAAGGGGUGUAGCUGUGUGUGUCGUAGGAAGUGAAAAGGGAGAAGUAUUCCAGUCAAGCAGGAGAAGGAGGGGACGUUGUCGACAUGCAGAAGACAAACUUAUGCAAAAGUUAAAUCAAGACCUUAAUAGUGGAACAUUAGGAGAUAAAUUAAGUAAAUCAGGAACUACCAAAAUUGAAAUAUUUCAGAACUACAGCCCAUGUGGAAACUGCGCUGAACCCAUUAGCGAGUUUCUGGGCAGACUAAAGGUGUUUUACCCUGGAUGCAACGUCACGUUGCACAUUCAUUUUGUGUGUAUAUACAAGAUAUUUUGGAACGAGAAUGGACCGAGACCAUACUACAUUACACCAGACGAGCACAUCAGAAACCGUGAAGGGUUGUUACGUCUUAAAGCACAUGGAAUACAGUUACAAUCAUUCACUUCUCAAACAUGGGCAAAGCUAUCGGACAUACGUAUGCCUAACCCAAAUAGGUCAGACCAUGUAGCUGAAGAUUACCCUGAAUGGUAUGGACACCAUAAACGAGAAGUCGCUGAUACAAAAACUGCCGAAACCUUUCAAAGGAUUAUUCUAUGAACGAAAACUUCGAAAGCCCACACUGAUUGCAAAAGAGAGUAUUUUAGCUGUUUCAGUUCCAGAAACGUUUUUUACAUGGCACAUACAACUUACAGAAACAAACACCAUGAGGAACAUUGUCAAUGUUUUUUCUUGAUCCUCCCUGUACGUGAUAUAAAACUGUCCAAUUGUU